AGAUACGUCAAACUAGGUUCCUCCCCCCUCGCCCUUUCGCUCCGUUCGACGCCUAGAUCCACCCCCCGCUGCCGCCCCGGCCCCGAGGUGAGCGCCCCCGCCCGCGGAUCCGCACCCAGCUCACCCCACCUCUAGCUUUCCCACUCGACCGCUCAAACUACCGGCCGCCGCCGCAUGGACUACACCGGCCGCUAGCCUGGGGGCCAGAUCGAUGGCCGCAGGGGCUAGAUCGAUGGACGGCGAGCGCUUCAUCCAGCGUCCUUCGGGAUCUUCCUCUCCGCCGCGCAGGUGCUGCCGGCGCGCACAGCGGCCAUGAUGCCGAAGGCUGGUGACCUGGUCGAAGAUGAGUAAAGGCUGGCAACUAGGUCUGCAGGUUGCUUAGGCCUGAUUGUGCGCCAGAUACGCCUGGACGAGCGUGGAGUCAUGUGCUGCCUUGCGACGAGGACAUCGUGAACUGGUUCGGUGCACCAUCCGCUGGUGUGCAUCGGUCGAUGAUCUGAGCACGAGGAAUGUAGCUGGUGCCUGUGGUGGUACCAUGAAUUUUGUUUCUGUCAGGAAUGAAUUUGUCAAAAAUCGCACCUGGUGGUAGAUGAGAUGAAGAUCGAUGGGAGAACAAGUAGAGGAGGUCCGUUUGUGGUAGAUGAGAACAACAUAGAUGAGGAGCGAAGUUUGUGGUAGAUGAGAACAACAUAGAUGAGGAGCGAAGCUGUAAGCUAAAAGAUCAGUGUAGUUUGACCACUUCUUAUUCAGAUUGGAGAAUAUAGAUUAGUCUUCUGAAUUGCAUGGGCGGAACAGGUAGACCCUGCAAUUUACCUCCUCUUAUGUAGGUCCAGUUCUUUGAUUUUACCUUUACAGUGCGUUUCAGGUGCAGAUUAUUUUUGACCAUCUGCUUGGAUAGUAGUAUUGUGUUCAAUCUGCACACCGAAUCUUUGUGCCUGAUGGUUUUUUGCUUUGAUAGAGUUAUUGAAAGUAUCCUCAAAUUAUUUUACAACAGAGGCAGUUAAAUAGGGUAGUAUUUCGUCAUGUAAUCUAAAAGUUUAAUUAUCGUCUGAUGUGUCAUUUGGGCAAUGUGACAGUGGCGGGCUGAUGGUGGUUUAUUCUGAUGGCUAAGGAUGGCCUGACAUCAAGAUUGCGCAACAAUCAGGCAGUUUUGGUCGCCAGACAUGGACUGCUAAUAUCCCAGCUGAGCUCCUGACUUCCUUCUAAUAUCCCAUCUGAGCUCGUGCUUUCCUGGUUUGUUUUUGCAAUAUUAAGUUAGAUGAGGAUAUUAAAUGUAUUGGAACAUGGCAGCUCUUUGUACAUGGAAGCAUGAUUGAAUCUUCCCCAUACCAAAACCGGGAGAUGCAUACCCUAUAGGUGUUGUGUACAGUCUGCACUUGCCGCCAAGUGCAAGAUCAAGGAGGAGGAGGAGGAUCAUAGACACUAUCAUCUCAAAAGGCUAAAGCUGCAAAAAAAAAAAAAAAACCAGAACGGU